AGAAGUUUAGGAUAUACAGUCCAAGAGCCUUCAAAGCCCUAAGAAAACAAGUAAAAGUUUAACUUCUG
rnacentral:tRNA from 1 species